rnacentral:rRNA from 1 species
GUGGGGAAUUUUGGACAAUGGGCGAAAGCCUGAUCCAGCAAUGCCGCGUGUGUGAAGAAGGCCUUCGGGUUGUAAAGCACUUUUGGCAGGGAAGAAACAGUGCGUGCUAAUACCAUGCGCGAAUGACGGUACCUGCAGAAUAAGCACCGGCUAACUACGUGCCAGCAGCCGCGGUAAUACGUAGGGUGCAAGCGUUAAUCGGAAUUACUGGGCGUAAAGCGUGCGCAGGCGGCUUUGUAAGACGGAUGUGAAAGCCCCGGGCUCAACCUGGGAAGUGCAUUCGUGACUGCAAGGCUAGAGUGUGUCAGAGGGAUGUGGAAUUCCGCGUGUAGCAGUGAAAUGCGUAGAGAUGCGGAGGAACACCGAUGGCGAAGGCAGCCUCCUGGGAUAACACUGACGCUCAGGCACGAAAGCGUGGGGAGCAAACAGGAUUAGAUACCCGGGUAGUCC